rnacentral:rRNA from 1 species
AGUGAACGCUGGCGGUAGGCCUAACACAUGCAAGUCGAACGGCAGCACAGUAAGAGCUUGCUCUUACGGGUGGCGAGUGGCGGACGGGUGAGGAAUACAUCGGAAUCUACUUUUUCGUGGGGGAUAACGUAGGGAAACUUACGCUAAUACCGCAUACGACCUACGGGUGAAAGCAGGGGAUCUUCGGACCUUGCGCGAUUGAAUGAGCCGAUGUCGGAUUGGCUAGUUGGCGGGGUAAAGGCCCACCAAGGCGACGAUCCGUAGCUGGUCUGAGAGGAUGAUCGGCCACACGGGAAGUGAGACACGGUCCAGACUCCUACGGGAGGCAGCAGUGGGGAAUAUUAGACAAUGGGCGGAAGCCUGAUCCAGCCAUACCGCGUGGGUGAAGAAGGCCUUCGGGUUGUAAAGCCCUUUUGUUGGGAAAGAAAAGCAGCAGGUUAAUACCCCGCUGUUCUGACGGUACCCAAAGAAUAAGCACCGGCUAACUUCGUG